AACAACUGGGAAUUGGAUACCUAAGGUGGUUUGAGAGCAGGGAGGAAGAAGGGAGGACCAAGGCUUUCCCAAAAAUGAAGAGAUGCUGA
rnacentral:lncRNA from 1 species